GACUAAUUUAAUAUUUUAUUUUGAAAGUAAAAGUGGGGGUGUUUACUCCGUUAGUCU
rnacentral:tRNA from 1 species